rnacentral:tRNA from 1 species
CACUGUAAAGCUAUCAAGCAUUAACCUUUUAAGUUAAAGACUGAGAGACCCCUCUCUACAGUGA